rnacentral:rRNA from 1 species
UAACACAUGCAAGUCGAACGCUUGUCGGGCUUCGGUCCGGCGGGAGUGGCGCACGGGUGAGUAGCGCAUGGGAACCUGCCCUGUUGUGGGGGAUAACCGAGGGAAACUUCGGCUAAUACCGCAUGCGCCCGCGGAGUUGAUCUGCGGGGAAAGAUUUAUCGCAGCAGGAGGGGCCCGCGUCGGAUUAGCUGGUUGGCGGGGUAACGGCCCACCAAGGCGAUGAUCCGUAGCUGGUCUGAGAGGAUGAUCAGCCACACUGGGACUGAGACACGGCCCAGACUCCUACGGGAGGCAGCAGUGGGGAAUAUUGGACAAUGGGGGCAACCCUGAUCCAGCAAUGCCGCGUGAGUGAUGAAGGCCUUCGGGUUGUAAAGCUCUUUCGCCCGCGACGAUNAUGACGGUAGCGGGAGAAGAAGCCCCGGCUAACUUCGUGCCAGCAGCCGCGGUAAUACGAAGGGGGCGAGCGUUGUUCGGAAUCACUGGGCGUAAAGGGCGCGUAGGCGGCCCUCUUUGUCGCGUGUGAAAGCCCCGGGCUCAACCUGGGAACGGCGCGCGAAACGGGGGGGCUGGAG